UUAAUUUUAUUUCAUGAUAAAUAUAAUACUGGUUAUAAUUAAUUAAAUUUUAGCAACGGUAUACAAAAGUGUAAUUAUGAAUAUAUAACUUUCACAUUAAAAUAAAAAUAACUUUAUAUUCACUAAAAAUAAUUUAAUAGUGAAUACAAAUAAUUUCUAUUUAGUGUACCAAAGGCGUUAGUUUAAUUCUAUUGGCCAAUUCUUGAAAGUACAGACUUAUUAUGUACAUUUUAUGAAUACUCAAUAAUUUUGUAUAAUUAUUUAAUGAGGUUACCAUAUGAAUUAUUUAUCAUCUUUAUUACAACGAAGGUGAACUAAUGCUCAAAAAAUGUUUUUUAUUGAAUUCAGUGUCAUGUUAAACGUUUUCUAAUAUCAUUUAUUUAUUUUUAUUUAUAGUUUUACUGUUAAAAUAAUUUUUUACUCGUCGUGAUUUUAAACGUUUCGUGAGUUAUGUUAAAAUCACUGAAGAAAUGCUUUUUGAUUGCUUUUAUUCAUUGUAACAAUAGCGCCAAAACAAAAUAUACGGGUGCAGACGCAUUUAGCUGUGUGCAAUGUGGUCGCACUUAUCGGCAUAAGAGUAACAUGCUUACUCAUUUAAAAUAUGAGUGCAAAAAAGAACCUCAGUUUAUUUGUCAGUUCUGUGGCAGAGCGAUUUAUUAUAGAUCAAACUUCAAGAAACAUAUGAUUGUUCGACAUCAAAUUCUCAUUAGUUAAAUUUUGAAGUAUAUUUUUUACUAUAAUAAUAAGUGCAUAAUAUUUAAAUUUAUGUAAAUUAGUACUCAAGGAUUUUUUUAAAUUAUAAUUGUUUAAGAAUUAAUAUAUUUGUAAAAAAUUAAUACUGCUAAAUUGUCAUUUCUCUAUUUUGUUGAACUAUUGAAUUAUUAAUUAUUAAAUAAAAUUAUAACAUGUAAUAUUAUAA